AAGCUUAGAAGGAAGAUCACAA
rnacentral:snRNA from 1 species